rnacentral:rRNA from 1 species
UACAGAGGGUGCGAGCGUUGUCCGGAAUCAUUGGGCGUAAAGCGCGUGUAGGCGGCCCGAUAAGUCCGCUGUGAAAGUCCAGGGCUCAACCCUGGAAUGCCGGUGGAUACUGUCGGGCUCGAGUCCGGAAGAGGCGAGUGGAAUUCCUGGUGUAGCGGUGAAAUGCGCAGAUAUCAGGAGGAACACCAAUGGCGAAGGCAGCUCGCUGGGACGGUACUGACGCUGAGACGCGAAAGCGUGGGGAGCAAACAGG